AUACGUAGGGUGCAAGCGUUAAUCGGAAUUACUGGGCGUAAAGCGUGCGCAGGUGGUUUUGUAAGUCAGAUGUGAAAUCCCCGGGCUUAACCUGGGAACUGCGUUUGAAACUGCAAGGCUUGAGUGUGGCAGAGGGGGGUGGAAUUCCGCGUGUAGCAGUGAAAUGCGUAGAGAUGUGGAGGAACACCGAUGGCGAAGGCAGCCCCCUGGGUCAGCACUGACGCUCAGGCACGAAAGCGUGGGGAGCGAACAGGAUUAGAAACCCCGGUAGUCC
rnacentral:rRNA from 1 species